GUUCGAGCGGAAACGAUGGUAGCUUGCUACCAGGCGUCGAGCGGCGGACGGGUGAGUAACGCGUGAGAAUCUGCCCAUUUGUGGGGGAUAACUCGGGGAAACUCGAGCUAAUACCGCAUAAUCCCUACGGGGGAAAGCAGGGGACCUUCGGGCCUUGUGCAGAUGGAUGAGCUCGCGUCGGAUUAGCUUGUUGGUGAGGUAAAGGCUCACCAAGGCGACGAUCCGUAGCUGGUCUGAGAGGAUGAUCAGCCACACCGGGACUGAGACACGGCCCGGACUCCUACGGGAGGCAGCAGUGGGGAAUCUUGGACAAUGGGGGCAACCCUGAUCCAGCCAUGCCGCGUGUGUGAAGAAGGCCUUCGGGUUGUAAAGCACUUUCAGUAGGGAGGAAGGCUUACCGCUAAUAACGGUGAGUACUUGACGUUACCUACAGAAGAAGCACCGGCUAAUUUCGUGCCAGCAGCCGCGGUAAUACGAAAGGUGCGAGCGUUAAUCGGAAUUACUGGGCGUAAAGCGCGCGUAGGCGGUUUGUUAAGUCAGAUGUGAAAGCCCCGGGCUCAACCUGGGAAUUGCAUUUGAAACUGGCAGGCUAGAGUGCAGUAGAGGGAGGUGGAAUUUCCGGUGUAGCGGUGAAAUGCGUAGAGAUCGGAAGGAACACCAGUGGCGAAGGCGGCCUCCUGGACUGACACUGACGCUGAGGUGCGAAAGCGUGGGGAGCAAACAGGA
rnacentral:rRNA from 1 species